rnacentral:rRNA from 1 species
UACGAAGGGGGCUAGCGUUGCUCGGAAUCACUGGGCGUAAAGCGCACGUAGGCGGACUCUUAAGUCGGUGGUGAAAUCCUGGAGCUCAACUCCAGAACUGCCUUCGAUACUGAGAGUCUUGAGUUCGGGAGAGGUGAGUGGAACUGCGAGUGUAGAGGUGAAAUUCGUAGAUAUUCGCAAGAACACCAGUGGCGAAGGCGGCUCACUGGCCCGAUACUGACGCUGAGGAGCGAAAGUGUGGGGAGCGAACAGG